rnacentral:tRNA from 1 species
GUUAUUGUGGCUCAGUUGGUAACGUGUGGCACUUGAAACGCCAAGGUUGUGGGUUCAAUUCCCACGGGGGACC